rnacentral:rRNA from 1 species
CACUCCUACGGGAGGCAGCAGUGAGGAAUAUUGGACAAUGGGUGGAAGCCUGAUCCAGCCAUCCCGCGUGCAGGAAGACGGCCCUAUGGGUUGUAAACUGCUUUUAUCUGGGGAUAAACCUACUUACGUGUAAGUAGCUGAAGGUACCAGAAGAAUAAGCACCGGCUAACUCCGUGCCAGCAGCCGCGGUAAUACGGAGGGUGCAAGCGUUAUCCGGAUUUAUUGGGUUUAAAGGGUCCGUAGGCGGACUGAUAAGUCAGUGGUGAAAUCCGACAGCUUAACUGUCGAACUGCCAUUGAUACUGUUAGUCUUGAGUAAGGUUGAAGUGGCUGGAAUAAGUAGUGUAGCGGUGAAAUGCAUAGAUAUUACUUAGAACACCAAUUGCGAAGGCAGGUCACUAAGUCUUAACUGACGCUGAUGGACGAAAGCGUGGGGAGCGAACAGGAUUAGAAACCCCUGUAGUCCCAUG